rnacentral:rRNA from 1 species
CGCGCAGGCGGACUAUUAAGUCGGGUGUGAAAUCUCCAGGCUCAACCUGGAGGCUGCAUCCGAAACUGGUGGUCUGGAGUCCCGGAGAGGCAGACGGAAUACCUGGUGUAGCGGUGAAAUGCGUAGAUAUCAGGUGGAACACCGAUGGCGAAGGCAGUCUGCUGGACGGUGACUGACGCUGAGGCGCGAAAGCGUGGGGAGCAAACA